AGGGGAGAAGAUGAGAGAGGGAAAUAAACCGCAAGAGACUCUUACAAUAGAGAACAAACUCAGGGUUGAUGGUGGGAGGUAGAUGAGGGAUGGGCUAGAUGAG